UACCCACGAUGCUCUGUUGUAAACAGGAAGCGCGUCAAGGAGGCACACGGGUUUCAAACCGGUGGAGGACAAAGUGAUUCAUAAACAGCUCGUAUGAAAGCAUACUCAUUCGUAAACAAUAACAGCUCAUGUAUUCGUGUGGACUCAUUUACAGAGUCACUUUACAUUAAUGUAUUUGACUCGGACUAACAGAUUCUUCAACUAUACUCGGACUAAGAGAUGAAUCAACGCUAAAGCUCUUUUGGUCUGUUCAGAACACAAAAACACACUCAGAAUUUAAUGUGUGUCUAAAUCCACGCCAUCAAGACAAGUAAAAGAAACUGAAGAUCUCCAGUGGAAAUGAAGAUUUAAUUAAUUAAUUACUGAUCAGCUGAUGCAUCGAGGAAAAGCGGCGCUGGUUUCCAUUGGUAACGGGCACGCGCACAGAUUUCACCACAAACACUCGACCCUCCAGAUAUGUCUUUAAAACAGAAGAAGGGGCUCAGGAGUGAGUUUUUUUCUUCUUUUUUCUUCUUCUUUUAUCUCUAUGUUGUCUUUGAUUACUGUAUCAUUCAACCACAUAUUAGAAAAUGUUGGGACAGUAUGGAAAACACAAAUAUAAAAAGAAAGUAAUGAUUUCUAAA